UCGGUGCUUGCACCGAGAUUCAACAUGGAACGAGUGGCGGACGGGUGAGUAACACGUGGGUAACCUGCCCUUAAGUGGGGGAUAACAUUUGGAAACAGAUGCUAAUACCGCAUAGAUCCAAGAACCGCAKGGUUCUUGGCUGAAAGAUGGCGUAAGCUAUCGCUUUUGGAUGGACCCGCGGCGUAUUAGCUAGUUGGUGAGGUAAUGGCUCACCAAGGCGAUGAUACGUAGCCGAACUGAGAGGUUGAUCGGCCACAUUGGGACUGAGACACGGCCCAAACUCCUACGGGAGGCAGCAGUAGGGAAUCUUCCACAAUGGACGCAAGUCUGAUGGAGCAACGCCGCGUGAGUGAAGAAGGCUUUCGGGUCGUAAAACUCUGUUGUUGGAGAAGAAUGGUCGGCAGAGUAACUGUUGUCGGCGUGACGGUAUCCAACCAGAAAGCCACGGCUAACUACGUGCCAGCAGCCGCGGUAAUACGUAGGUGGCAAGCGUUAUCCGGAUUUAUUGGGCGUAAAGCGAGCGCAGGCGGUUUUUUAAGUCUGAUGUGAAAGCCCUCGGCUUAACCGAGGAAGCGCAUCGGAAACUGGGAAACUUGAGUGCAGAAGAGGACAGUGGAACUCCAUGUGUAGCGGUGAAAUGCGUAGAUAUAUGGAAGAACACCAGUGGCGAAGGCGGCUGUCUGGUCUGUAACUGACGCUGAGGCUCGAAAGCAUGGGUAGCGAACAGGAUUAGAUACCCUGGUAGUCCAUGCCGUAAACGAUGAAUGCUAGGUGUUGGAGGGUUUCCGCCCUUCAGUGCCGCAGCUAACGCAUUAAGCAUUCCGCCUGGGGAGUACGACCGCAAGGUUGAAACUCAAAGGAAUUGACGGGGGCCCGCACAAGCGGUGGAGCAUGUGGUUUAAUUCGAAGCAACGCGAAGAACCUUACCAGGUCUUGACAUCUUUUGAUCACCUGAGAGAUCAGGUUUCCCCUUCGGGGGCAAAAUGACAG
rnacentral:rRNA from 1 species